rnacentral:rRNA from 1 species
AUUGAACGCUGGCGGCAUGCCUUACACAUGCAAGUCGAACGGCAGCACGAUCUAGCUUGCUAGAUUGAUGGCGAGUGGCGCACGGGUGAGUAAUACACCGCAACGUGCCCUGUUGCGGGGGAGAACACGUCGAAAGACUAGCUAUUACCCCACACGCCCCCAGGGUGAAAGAGGGGGACCGCAAGGCCCCUUGCUCGAGUAGCUGCCGAUGUCUGAUUAGCUAGUUGGUGGGGUAAAGGCUCACCAAGGCGACGAUCAGUAGCUGGUCUGAGAGGACGAUCAGCCACACUGGAACUGAGACACGGCCCAGACUCCUACGGGAGGCAGCAGUGGGGAAUUUUGGACAAUGGGCGAAAGCCUGAUCCAGCAAUGCCGCGUGUGUGAAGAAGGCCUUCGGGUUGUAAAGCACUUUUGUCCGGAAAGAAAUGGAUCUGGUUAAUACCUGGGGUCGAUGACGGUACCGGAAGAAUAAGGACCGGCUAACUACGUG